UACGUAGGGGGCGAGCGUUGUCCGGAAUUAUUGGGCGUAAAGAGCGUGUAGGCGGUUCGGUAAGUCUGCCGUGAAAACCUGGGGCUCAACCCCAGGCGUGCGGUGGAUACUGCCGGGCUAGAGGGUGGUAGAGGCGAGUGGAAUUCCCGGUGUAGCGGUGAAAUGCGCAGAUAUCGGGAGGAACACCUAUGGCGAAGGCAGCUCGCUGGGACGUUACUGACGCUGAGACGCGAAAGCGUGGGGAGCAAACAGG
rnacentral:rRNA from 1 species